AGGACAAAUAUGACCAAAUCAACUUGGAUCAGGACUAGCUGACAGACUGUAGUGAUAGAUAAUGCUUGGUCCGGGUUAGUUGCUUGCAGACAGACAGUUUAACUGAGCUGGCUCAGGGCCUGGCAGCAUACACACAGUAGCAGUUUAAUACAGCUGGCUUAGGGCUCACAGCAGAUCGACAGUAGUCCAGAGAAAAGCCAAGGUCAGAGGCAAAAGUAGUCAGCAAAAUACAGAGUCAAAGCCAAGUCACUAAUGAGCAAUCAGAUACCAGAAUAGCAGGUUCGUGUUAAAGCAAACAGAAGCUAUCAAGGGUGUAUUUAAUAAUAUUACCAAGACCAAUCAGCUGCUAUCUGUGAAGCUGUGUCAAAAUCCACAGCACCUCGGCAGAGAGUGGCAUUCCUCUGCAGGAUCAGGAAAUGUUGUCCACUGUCUCCAGAGCAACUGGCCCAACAGCCAGAAAAGCUGUGAUGUCAGGGGACAGUAACCCACUCCUCUGAAAAGUAGCUGCCCGGAGAUUAAAUAUUUUUCUUCUAGGAGUACAUCACAUUUGUUGACCAGAUGCAGGCAAGUGCAUAAGGCUGGAAAGUGUCCAGGUGCUGGAACAUAUCAUGACCUGCUUAACAUUGCAGCAAGUUGUUGGAAAUGAACCACUGUACGCAGUCACGAUGGAAUUUCCACGCAUCUCUGAAUCACACCCUGAAUGCAAAGUCAUGGCAGGUCCUGCAUGUGAGAUGAAUAGUGUUUGGGUAUUAUUCAAGCAAUAUUGGAAGAGAAGGAGUUUUUAGGAAGAAAGAUAGAGCGAAACAACGAGGGAGGAAAAGAAAGAUAUUUCGUUUCUCAUGCCAAAGUUUAUUAGCAUGCUGUUUUGUUCUAGUCCUGGAGUUUCCUGUGCUUCAGUAAUGAAA